rnacentral:rRNA from 1 species
UAGGGAAUCUUGGACAAUGGGCGAAAGCCUGAUCCAGCCAUGCCGCGUGAGUGAUGAGGCCUUAGGGUUGUAAAGCUCUUUCGCCAGGGAAGAUAAUGACGGUACCUGGAUAAGAAGCCCCGGCAAACUUCGUGCCAGCAGCCGCGGUAAUACGAAGGGGGCUAGCGUUGUUCGGAAUUACUGGGCGUAAAGCGCACGUAGGCGGUUUUCCAAGUUGGAGGUGAAAUCCCUGGGCCCAACCCGGGAACUGCCUCCAAAACUGGAUGACUCGAGUCCGAGAGAGGUGAGUGGAAUUUCCAGUGUAGAGGUGAAAUUCGUAGAUAUUGGAAAGAACACCAGUGGCGAAGGCGGCUCACUGGCUCGGUACUGACGCUGAGGUGCGACAGCGUGGGGAGCAAAC